GAUGAACGCUGGCGGCGUGCUUAACACAUGCAAGUCGAACGAUGAAGCCCAGCUUGCUGGGUGGAUUAGUGGCGAACGGGUGAGUAACACGUGAGUAACCUGCCCUUAACUCUGGGAUAAGCCUGGGAAACUGGGUCUAAUACCGGAUAGGAGCGUCCACCGCAUGGUGGGUGUUGGAAAGAUUUAUCGGUUUUGGAUGGACUCGCGGCCUAUCAGCUUGUUGGUGAGGUAAUGGCUCACCAAGGCGACGACGGGUAGCCGGCCUGAGAGGGUGACCGGCCACACUGGGACUGAGACACGGCCCAGACUCCUACGGGAGGCAGCAGUGGGGAAUAUUGCACAAUGGGCGAAAGCCUGAUGCAGCGACGCCGCGUGAGGGAUGACGGCCUUCGGGUUGUAAACCUCUUUCAGUAGGGAAGAAGCGAGAGUGACGGUACCGGCAGAAGAAGCACCGGCUAACUACGUG
rnacentral:rRNA from 1 species